AUUGAACGCUGGCGGCAGGCCUAACACAUGCAAGUCGAGCGAGCGGCGGACGGGUGAGUAAUGUAUGGGGAUCUGCCCGAUAGAGGGGGAUAACUACUGGAAACGGUGGCUAAUACCGCAUACUAUCGGAUGAAACCAGAUGGGAUUAGCUAGUAGGGGGAGUAAAGGCUCACCUAGGCGACGAUCUCUAGCGGGUCUGAGAGGAUGAGCAGCCACACUGGGACGGAGAAACGGCCCAGACUCCUACGGGAGGCAGCAGUGGGGAAUAUGGCACAAUGGUCGCAAGCCUGAGGCAGCCAUGCCGCGUGGAUGAAGAAGGCCUUAGGGUUGUAAAGUACUUUCAGCGGGGAGGCGUUACCCGCAGAAGAAGCACCGGCUAACUCCGUGCCAGCCGCCGCGGUAAUUC
rnacentral:rRNA from 1 species